AGAGUCUGGGUAAAUCGGGGCAAAACCUAGUUAAUUGAAGCCACAUAGACUUUGUUUGUCCUCAAAAGAGUGAAUUACUACUCCUGAGGGUUAUGAUAAAGAAAGCCCAGGCCUCUCCUUUCAUUGUGGAUGCAUUAAAAUAAAUCAUCCGUCCAUCCAUCCAUCCAUCUACCCCCCUGUUAUCCAGUGCUCAAUAAAUGGUUAAACGGCUCUUGAAUCCCUGUGUUUAAAUGUUCACACCAUUCCACAAUUCUAUGA